rnacentral:misc_RNA from 1 species
UUUAUUUUCGUACCACUCUGGAAGGUACAGUUUCCAGGAGUCAGUUAUAUUAACUCUAUGGUUUCCCUACUCUAAAAUUGGUUCUUUAAUCUAUGUCUUGGCGUUGGAAUGGGCUGUCUGAGCGUGCGCGUCAGCGCAAGCGACAGGCUGAAUCCACUAAUCCAGAUGAUAUAGCUAGACGGCAGGCUGCGCUAGAUAAAUCAAGGGCAAAGUUGGCUGCUGAAACACCGGAGCAAAGGGCGGCCAGAUUAGAACGUCGUAGAAGAGCUUACCAAGCACAGAAGCGAGCCAUGAUCGAAGCUACUGCAGCCGCCGCCGUCGUCGUUCGGCAACAUGAGCCAAGGGGGCCAACGAUCGGCGACGUUGGGGUCGAGGCCGCCGGCGGCGUGAGGCCGCGUCCUACGAAAGCGAGGAAAGCUCCGGCGGACGCCGAGGAAACGAGCCUGAGGCGCUCGGAAGGUCAGCGACGUCGGUGGCAGGCCCAACGCGGGUGCCCCGCUCCUCUUGUGAGGCCAGCGCCCGCUGGCCCCGAGGAGAAAAGACGGCAGUGGGCCGAGGCGAAGCGACGUAGCAGGCAGCUACAGCUCCAGGCCGAAGACGAACGACGACGGCGGGAAGGCGCCCCGCUUCGAGCGGGACGCUUUUACCCCAAGGACGACGAAGAAAGGAAGAAGCGACGUGCCGAAACCCAGCGGCGCCGCAGGCAGGCCCGGCGCGAAGCCGAUGAACUGCGACAACUCCUGGAAGACGGUCCGUCGCACGGCGAAACGCUACCGCGGCGGUGCGAGGCUCAGCGGCGUCGUAGGCGGCUCGAGCGCGAAGCGGCCAACGCAGGCGUUGGGCAGCGCUUGCAAGACGAUCCCUUCGGCUUUGUCAUCGGGGUUGGCGAUGCUGUAGAUGAAAAGCCGUUGGCAUGCCACAGGUGCAAGUUGUCAAGCACCACCUUCCACCGGGAACCAUGGCUAGGUUACGAUAAGACAGCACCCUGCCUCAGCAUGCCGAUCGAUCUUGUCAGACGGAACACCACAUCACUCUAGUCCGGUGCGCAAGAUUGCGCGUUUCAACUUGCUGCAUUGGAGUCCAGGUUGAUGUCUCGUGACUGUGAUAUUAAGUUCCUGCGUAACCAGGUUGACAGAAUAAGGAGAAGCUGCUCAAUGCAACAGCUGGCAGCAUCUGGGUGGCCUCGCGGCAUACCUGUCCAUGACGACAUGGAGGCCUCCCUCACACUCGGACGCAAGAGCGAGAAAAGUGGCAAAAGCAGGCGAAUCUUCUUGCGCCGUUUGAUGGCUACACUGCUUGCAUUUGACGCCACAACUUUUAGCUACUUUCACAUGUGCAUGUGCUGAUGACGUGCAGUUUUUUCGGCAACUGUGACAUUUGCCAGUUUGUAAUUUGAAAGUGUUCACCCAUUAUCAAAAGUAUGCAAACCUGGGCUUCUGCAACUAAGGACGAAUUUCCUCAAUGCCUGGGCAUGCAACAUGAAACUGAAGACUUCUGUUCGGAUUGGCGUUGCAAACAUUGCAGCGUGUCGGGCAGUUUCGGGUUGUCAGUAUGAGUUGUCAGUGAAUUUUGUUUUACGGAAGUCCUUUUCUGCAUACCUUGAUCAAGGGUGUACCUGUAGUCAUUCGUCAACUCUAGAUGAUGUAAACUGUCAGUUUGGCUUUGCUGCAAUGCACAGCCAUAUUCAACAAACAUGUGCAGCAGUCUGGCUGCUUUACUUGUUUUUGGGGCACCGUUGUCUAGCCAGUCUAAACCUGUCAGAAUCACUGACUGCUGCUGCCAGCGGCGGCAGAACUGUGAGAUGAACUCUCAACUAUCUAAAGGCACUUUCAAAAUUGCAUUGAGUGAUUUGUGUUACAUCAACUCUUCAGCAUUAUUGGUGUUCCAGCAUGUCUCUGCAGGUGCAUGGUCUCUAUCAUCAAUACAUUCUACUCGUGCGUUUGCACUGCAGCAUUGAAUUAAUUUCUUUGUUCAGCUGUCCUUGGCCCUGUUCAAUUUAUUGUGACCUCUAAACUUAAUUUACACACAGUGAAACAGCUCCCAGUUUCACCAAGAUGAAAUCAGAAUCUAUCUAAGGAUGCGCAACCAGACUAAUGCAUUUAGUGCAGUACACGCAAAAAAUUUACUCAUGUGAAAACAUGCAUGCAUUCACGGCUAAAAAAUGCUGACCACAAUAGCUUGCUCAUUGUGGACACCAUUUACUAUCUUUGGGUGAAAUGUUUAUAUUCGAGUGCAGUUUCUGUCUUGCCUUUUGAUUAGCUGUGGCAAAGCGUAAAGCUUUAGAUGUGGCAAAAGUCGGGCCCCCCUCCCCUAAUCGGCCCCUGCCACCUUGUUUUCUGCCUGGCUUACUAUGACAGCAAUUAGAGGUUGAAGCUGUCCCAUCCAUCAAUUGUUUCUACUAUGCUGCUGCUGUCAUGUCAUUGUCAUGAGUUAAUUA